GACGAACGCUGGCGGCGUGCUUAACACAUGCAAGUCGAACGGAAAGGCCCUGCUUUUGUGGGGUGCUCGAGUGGCGAACGGGUGAGUAACACGUGAGUAACCUGCCCUUGACUUUGAGAUAACUUCAGGAAACUGGGGCUAAUACCGGAUAGGAGCUCCUGCUGCAUGGUGGGGGUUGGAAAGUUUCGGCGGUUGGGGAUGGACUCGCGGCUUAUCAGCUUGUUGGUGGGGUAGUGGCUUACCAAGGCUUUGACGGGUAGCCGGCCUGAGAGGGUGACCGGCCACAUUGGGACUGAGAUACGGCCCAGAGUCCUACGGGAGGCAGCAGUGGGGAAUAUUGCACAAUGGGCGGAAGCCUGAUGCAGCAACGCCGCGUGCGGGAUGACGGCCUUCGGGUUGUAAACCGCUUUCGCCUGUGACGAAGCGUGAGUGACGGUAAUGGGUAAAGAAGCACCGGCUAACUACGUG
rnacentral:rRNA from 1 species